AACGAACGCUGGCGGCAGGCUUAAUACAUGCAAGUCGUGGGGCAGCAGGGUUGUAGCAAUACAAUCGCUGGCGACCGGCAAACGGGUGCGUAACACGUACGCAACCUUCCCGUUACUGUGGCAUAGCCCAGGGAAACUUGGAUUAAUACCACAUAUUAUAUUGAGGGGGCAUCCCUUUGAUAUCAAAGCUUCGGCGGUAACGGAUGGGCGUGCGGUUGAUUAGGUAGUUGGCGGGGUAACGGCCCACCAAGCCUACGAUCAAUAGCUGAUGUGAGAGCAUGAUCAGCCACACGGGCACUGAGACACGGGCCCGACUCCUACGGGAGGCAGCAGUAAGGAAUAUUGGGCAAUGGACGAAAGUCUGACCCAGCCAUGCCGCGUGAAGGAUUAAGGUCCUCUGGAUUGUAAACUUCUUUUCUCUGGGGCGAAAACCAGCUAUUCUUAGCUAUUUGACAGUACCAGAGGAACAAGCACCGGCUAACUCCGUGCCAGCCGCCGCUGUAACAC
rnacentral:rRNA from 1 species